rnacentral:tRNA from 1 species
GCGUUCAUAGCUCAGGCGGAUAGAGCGUCGGCCUUCUAAGCCGAAAGUCCCAGGUUCGAAUCCUGGUGGACGCA